rnacentral:lncRNA from 1 species
AGGAUGGCUCGACUAACCCAACCAUCAUCAGAUAGUUCAUCAGAGUCAACAUAUGAUGAAUGACAAUUUCAUCAUUCAGAGAGAACAUCAGAUGGAUGGCACCUGCAAUGUCAAUCAAAAAUAAUGGACCCAUUAUCACUCACUUUAAUGGGAGGCUAUGAUCUAGUUAUCACCAUAACUAGCUCAUUUUAAAGACCUAAUAAUUUAAAAAUUUUAAUCAAUUUAAAGAAGAGAGGAGAAGAAAAGAUCAAUCAGUAAACCAUAAUCUUUCCACUGACUUCACCAAGUCAUUGAAUCGAGUUAGGUCAUGCUGAUUGAACUGGCACCU